rnacentral:rRNA from 1 species
AUUGAACGCUGGCGGCAGGCCUAACACAUGCAAGUCGAACGAGUGGCGGACGGGUGGGUAAUGUCUCUGAAACUGCCUGCUGGAGGGGGAUAACUACUGGACCCGGUAGCUACUACCGCCUACCAUCGGAUGUGCCCAGAUGGGAUUAGCUAGUUGGUGGGGUAACGGCUCACCAAGGCGACGAUCCCUAGCUGGGCUGGGAGGAUGACCAGCCACACUGGAACUGAGACACGGUCCAGACUCCUACGGGAGGCAGCAGUGGGGAAUAUUGCACAAUGGGCGAAAGCCUGAUGCAGCCAUGCCGCGUGUAUGAAGAAGGCCGUCGGGUUGUAAAGUACUUUCAGCUGGGAGGCGUUACCCGCAGAAGAAGCACCGGCUAACUCCGUGCCAGCAGCCGCGGUAAUAC